GUGGGGAAUAUUGCGCAAUGGGCGAAAGCCUGACGCAGCGACGCCGCGUGAGGGAUGAAGGUUUUCGGAUCGUAAACCUCUGUCAGAAGGGAAGAAACUACAUUGUGCUAAUCAGCAGUGUACUGACGGUACCUUCAAAGGAAGCACCGGCUAACUCCGUGCCAGCAGCCGCGGUAAUACGGAGGGUGCAAGCGUUAAUCGGAAUUACUGGGCGUAAAGCGCACGUAGGCUGUAGUGUAAGUCAGGGGUGAAAUCCCACGGCUCAACCGUGGAACUGCCUUUGAUACUGCACAACUUGAAUCCGGGAGAGGGUGGCGGAAUUCCAGGUGUAGGAGUGAAAUCCGUAGAUAUCUGGAGGAACAUCAGUGGCGAAGGCGGCUUACUGGACUGUAACUGACGUUGAGGCUCGAAAGCGUGGGGAGCAAACAGGAUUAGAUACCCGGGUAGUCC
rnacentral:rRNA from 1 species